CAAGACAUCUCCAUGAAGGGGGAAAACACAAUAAAUAUGAAUGAGGGGAAGAAGAAAGGUGGCUGUUUUGCCUCAAUUUAUGCGGUUUUCAUUUGCACAUGAGAUGAAAAUGAUUUCGAAGAGUGCUUCUAGAGAGAGACUCCAUGCGCGGGAGGGAACCCUAGACGGGGCGAUGGACGAUCUUUGCCGGGAAAACCAUCGACGAAACCCUCGUGGUUGAUCUUCUGAAAUCGAUACCGCAGGAGGAUUCCGAUGUUACUUUCCCCUUACUGAAGACAAUGGUGAAUGGUAAACACAUAAUUAGAGUUUCAGAGGAGGAAGAGAUGAAGGCUCCCUUCAAAUGCACCGCCAUUAGAUGUUUCGUGGGAGGUUCAUCUUCAAGAGGUGCGGAUUUUGCUUUUAUCGUGAAUGAUCUUUGAAAUCUGAUAUUGAGGAAAGGGGCGUGUCAUUUGUUGGGCCCACUUCUGGCCACGAGUUGCCGGUGAGUGGGUGAUUCCUUGCAGGUAGAAGAUUCUUUGAUGGUACCAAUCUAGAAGUGCCUACAUCCGCUGUGCCUUUUAGGGGUGCUGCCGAGGGAUUGGGUGGGUCAUUUCUAGAGGCCAACAUCCAAACAAAGUUUCUUCUCUGAUUGGGUUUUGCUAGACGACGUUCCUUGGUGUUUCAUUCCUAGAUUGUCGAAAUUGAAUUGGAUAGAGCGGAGUUUUGGAAUCAAGAGGUGUUGUGUGAGACUGCAGUCAAAUUUUUCUUCCACCGUAGAGCAACAACACAUAUGUCUGAGUGCUAUAAAAUGUCACAGGAGGAAAAGGAAGAUCCCCGCACUGAAGUUGGAAUGCAAAGAAGGUUGGAUGAAGUAGGGGUGCUUAGAAGACAACACUGAGAAAUCCUAGAGGCUGCUACUCCUAAUACAAGGGAUUCUUCUAAAAGGUGUGCAGAGGUUGAUAGAUGCUUUGAGGGAGGAAAAUGGUGUGUUGGUGUGUAAUUUAACAAGGAAGGUUAGCGGAAACAUGUUUGCGAUGAAUAAUUUUUGAGGCUAGGUGGAAGAUGAGGUGCCCAUUAUCUUGCAAGGAGAGAAUGUUUCUAAAGUUCAGGAGCCAAAGAAGGACAAGAAUGGUAAGAAAAGAUUUUGCAAGACAUCACUAAUUGCUUUGAGUUGAAAAAAUGGCAUGUCGAUUUAGGGAGGAGCCCUAAUUAAAGAUGUUAGGGAGCCAGGUAUGCCAUUAUCUUACAGCCCUUUUGAUUUGAAUGGUAAUGGCAGGGGCUUUCUCAAUCUGCCAUUUUUCAUCGGUGGUAUUAAUGUGGUUGAUUUAGAUGAAUGAUCUCUAGACUACAACAAGUAGUACUUUUGAAUGAGGCUCCUACCGUGGCCAAUAAUCAUGUUUGUAAGCUUCAUCAAGCACUCUAUAGGCUUUCCUAAGUUCAGCAAGCACGGUAUGAUCGUUUUCGUACUUAUUUACUUUCAAAAGGCUUCUUUUCAAACGUCUUUGAUUCAUCAUUAUUUAUUUGCAAUGAUGCUGAAGGCACUAUCUUAUUGCUCCUAUAUGUCGAUGACAUUAUUCUGACAAACAAUAGUUUAAUUUUAUUACAAGAAUUUGUUUGUGACUUGAGCAAAGAAUUUUCAAUGAAAGAUUUGGGCUAUCUUUAUCACUUUUUUGGUGUCGAGGUUGUUAAAAAGCAUGGAGGGCUCUUUCUCAAUCAAAUGCCAAUAUGGGUAUAUCUUGCUAGAGAAAGCAAACAUGUUCUCUUGCAAACCAAUUAUUACACCAUUGGUACAAAAUUACAAAGCGCCAGUAGACGAUGCUCCAUUUGCAGAUCCCACGGUGUACUGAUGCUUGAUCCAAGGGUUACAAUAUUGGACAUUUACAAGACCAGACAUCUCCUUCUCAGUUAAUUUUCUUAUCCAAUAUAUGUAGUCCCCAAUGACAAGUUGUUUUCAGCUUACAAAAAGGCUCUUAUAACAUGUUCAUGGCUCUAUUGAACUUGACUCAAAUUGGGUUGGUUGCCAAGAAUACCAGGCAUUCAACUAUUGGUUUUGCCACUUAUCUGGGUUCUAAGUGUAUUUAUUGGACUGCUAAGGAGCAACCCACUGUAGCAUGGUGUCAACUAUAGAGGCUGAGUAUCAAUUCAUGGCAUCUACUGUCGCUGAACUUACAUAGAUCUCUUAUGUUCUCAAACAUGUUGAACUUUACUUAGCUGAUCUACCUAUUUUUAUACUGUGAUAGCAUGUCUGCUCUCCAGGAAUGGAAGGGUUGUUCAUUUAAAGAUAAAGCAUGUGGAGUUAGAUUAUCAUUUUCUUAGAAAAAAAAUUCGCCAUUGGCCUUCUCACCACCUUUGAACAUCUAAGGAGCAAACUCGGGAUUUCCAUGCUACCGCCCAGUUUAAGGGGGGCUGAUACCCAAAGCAGCAGAGGAGGAGCUACAAAUUAGGAUGAGAAUCCGUCGGUUACAGCUAACAUAUCACAUUCCAAAUCUGUUGAUAGAAAAUAUAAGGAAUGUAUGGGCACAACUAUAAAUCAAAAGGAUAAACAUGGAAAUAAUGGUUGUAAAUCCAAUAUUAUUGAGGUGAAAAUAAUGGUGAUAGUUGCAACAAAAAGUAUAAAUGUUGAGGAAGGCAAGGUCUAUCGAUAGUUAAUUUUCUAGUGGAUGUAGGUGUGAGUUCACACCGAACCACAUUAAUCUUUGAUUGCUCUCUUUCUUUUUCACACCCUUAAUUUUUAGACUCUGGGUUCAAUAUUUUGAACCAUCUAAAUCAAAAGUGAUGGGACAUCUUGAAAUCAAACUUUUGUCUAUAAUUCUCAAGGAAAGCAUGUUUGAUCAACUUUGUCCUGGACAACUUCAUUAGUUAUUGGAUGUCAUGUUUCAGACUUCCAAAUACAGUGAUUGCUGCCGUGAGUAGCGAAUACUCGAGAUUUCUAUCCAGUGCGCAAAAUAGAAUAUGACGAUUACAUUUGGUUGGCAGACCACGUGUCAUCCUAUUGAAGAAGGUGGUGGGAGAUUUAGGAACUUAUGGGUUUUUAAUAAAUCAUGUAUGGUCUUCUUAACACUAAAAAUAAUCACCUCUUUCCUGUCAUUGGUUUUGAAGACAAAGUAUCUUCAAGGCAACGGUUUAUGGACUUGGAAGAGAACGGCUGAGAAAUGUCUUGAAGGGGUUGGGAUGAGGUAGACAUUUCAUUAGAUGGUAGGUAGGGAGUGGAGAUAAAGCUAAAUUAAUUUUGGUUUGACAAUUGGAGAUGGAUGGAGGGUGAGUUGCCGAGAAGGCGUCUUCCUGAGCCAGUCAAUGUGCAGGACUAUCAUUUAGACAAGAAUGGGCAAAGGUAGACCUAAUGAAUCUGUGUGGAUUCAGUAUAUUAUUAUUGAGUGUACUCCUCUCUCUAAUGUCAGUGAUUGUCUUGGGUGCGGCAAUGUAGAUGUCGGGGAUAUAUGAUGUACAUCAAUGAAGACUAAAAUGAGAUUAAUAACAUAAAGAAAAUACCUUAUGGAUCAAUUAGAAAGUUCAUAUGUCUGGCCACGAACGCACAAUAUGCGUAUAACAAUAAUGUAGGAUCAUCUGAAAGUUAGAAGAACCUGAAAAGCAGUUAUUGACCUAAAAGGCAAAGGAUUCCAUAAUAUGGAAAAAAAAAAUAUCCCUUCUAAAAUUUUGAUAAAAUUUCAUAGAAUUUGAAAUUUUGUUUGUUUUCUUCUAUGGAAUUUAUCAAAUUCUACUUGAAGGCAAAAUACAAUCUGCUUAAAAUUCCAUAAUUUUUUAAAUCAUGGAGCUAUUAUAUUAAAGGCUACUUAUAGCAAAUCAUAUAUAUAUAUAUAUAUAUAUAUAUACGAAGAGAGAGAGAGAGAGAGAGCCGGGUGUAACAAGUGGCUAUAAGCCACGGAUCUCACGAGCAGGUGGAUCACCGUCCGUUCUGAUUUUAAUCUGUCGGUCGAGAUUUUAAAACUGGGGUGGGGGUGUUCUGCCCGUGCUCUCUCUUUUCCCCCCUUCCUCACUUUCUCCUUCCACCCGCUCUCACGCUCUCCCUUCCUAAGAUCUUCUCACCCCUCACCCUUCUCUCUGUCCCUAUCUCAUUCGCUCUCUCUCUCUCUCUCUCUCACAGACACACACACACACACACAUUCUGUAUAGAAGACGGCUGCUCUCCGGCAGCCCCAUUCUUUUUCGUUUCUGAUAAUAGUUUAGGAUGAAACAAAAUUUAAUGAAGGAAAAGAGACUUUCUUUUGUAGGUAUCAGGAUCCUUGUUAUGAGUUCAAUUAUUUAAAUUCAUUGUUCAUCAUUUGGACAUGAAUUACGGCCACCCAAAAAGUUUCUCUAGAUAACAUCCCACGUACAUGAUUUUGUGACUAGAGAAGGAAGAUGAAUCUUGGUCCAUCUGCAAGCCAAGUAGUUGCUGAAACUCCUGAAAGAAAAAUGGAAGCUUGUCUCCCAUGAUUGGAUUUUGUGCGACUUUCUUCCCAUUUCAGGUUAAGCAGCAUAAAUGCAGCACAUACGAUGCACUUGUAGAAGAUUCCAAGCACUACUGCAACGAUUUCAAGUGAUUGGCACAACAACAACCUCAACCAGAAGAUAGCAGCUCCCACCUCUCAUGCUGGAGGAGUACAUGACAUAUGUGAAGCUAGCUGACCUUAAGGGCCCGUCUGAAUAGCUGAACCAAAUACCCAGACAUUAAAUUGUUGGGCAUUUAGUACCAGGUCUUUAAUUUCAUGUUUGUUUACGAUGGAACUAAAAUACCACCUCAUUAAGAAGAGAUGCAUGGAAGGGGAAGGACAAGGGAACUAUUUAGGUGAAACUUUAA